rnacentral:rRNA from 1 species
AUUGAACGCUGGCGGCAUGCUUUACACAUACAAGUCGAACGGCAGCACGGGGGCAACCCUGGUGGCGAGUGGCGAACGGGUGAGUAAUGCAUCGGAACGUGCCCUGUCGUGGGGGAUAACACAUCGAAAGAUGUGCUAAUACCGCAUACGACCUGAGGGUGAAAGCGGGGGACCGUAAGGCCUCGCGCGAUAGGAGCGGCCGAUGUCGGAUUAGCUAGUUGGUGGGGUAAAGGCCUACCAAGGCGACGAUCAGUAGCUGGGCUGAGAGGACGACCAGCCACACUGGGACUGAGACAAGGCCCAGACUCCUACGGGAGGCAGCAGUGGGGAAUUUUGGACAAUGGGGGCAACCCUGAUCCAGCCAUGCCGCGUGCGGGAAGAAGGCCUUCGGGUUGUAAACCGCUUUUGGCAGGAACGAAACGGUGCGGGCGAAUACCCUGUGCUAAUGACGGUACCUGCAGAAUAAGCACCGGCUAACUACGUGCCAGCCGCCGCCGUAAAAC